AAACUGGGGCUAAUACCGGAUAGGCAAUUUUUCCUGUAAUGGUUCUUUGUUUAAAUGUUCUUUCGCCUAAGGAUGGGUCUGCGGCCGAUUAGGUAGUUGGUUAGGUAAUGGCUUACCAAGCCGUUGAUCGGUACGGGUUGUGAGAGCAAGAGCCCGGAGAUGGAACCUGAGACAAGGUUCCAGGCCCUACGGGGCGCAGCAGGCGCGAAACCUCCACAAUGUGAGAAAUCGCGAUGGGGGGAUCCCAAGUGCCAUUCUUAACGGGAUGGCUUUUCAUUAGUGUAAAAAGCUUUUGGAAUAAGAGCUGGGCAAGACCGGUGCCAGCCGCCGCGGUAACACCGGCAGCUCUAGUGGUAGCAACUUUUAUUGGGCCUAAAGCGUCCGUAGCCGGUUUAAUAAGUCUCUGGUGAAAUCCUGUAGCUUAACUGUGGGAAUUGCUGGAGAUACUAUUAGACUUGAGACCGGGAGAGGUUGGAGGUACUCCCAGGGUAGAGGUGAAAUUCUGUAAUCCUGGGAGGACCGCCUGUUGCGAAGGCGUCUAACUGGAACGGUUCUGACGGUGAGGGACGAAAGUUAGGGGCGCGAACCGGAUUAGAUACCCGGGUAGUCCUAACUGUAAACGAUGCGGACUUGGUGUUGGGGUGGCUUUGAGCUGUCCCAGUGCCGAAGGGAAGCUGUUAAGUCCGCCGCCUGGGAAGUACGGUCGCAAGACUGAAACUUAA
rnacentral:rRNA from 1 species